rnacentral:rRNA from 1 species
GACGAACCGUGCGAACGUUAUUCGGAAUCAUUGGGCUUAAAGGGCGCGUAGGCGGCGGUGUAAGUUGGAAGUGAAAUCCCAUCGGCUCAACCGUGGAAUUGCUCCCAGUACUGCAUCGCUCGAGGGGGAUAGGGUUUGCGGAACUACCGGUGGAGGCGGUGAAAUGUGUUGAUAUCGGUGGGAACGCCAGUGGCGAAAGCGGCGAAACUU